rnacentral:tRNA from 1 species
UCCCUGAUAGCUCAGUGGGUAAAGAAUUUGCCUGGAGUACAGGAGACCCAGGUUCAAUCCCUGGGUUGGGAA